GCUAAAACUAAUCUGGAAUCUAUGAGAAGAGUAGCUUCAAGAAAGGAACCUGGAAUUAGCUAUUGGAACAAUUCAAGAAAAGCAAAAUAAAAGCUCUGACCCAUUUGAGAAGCUCAGGAAGCCAGACUACAACCUCUGCAGCAAUCUAUUAAGAAAAGUAAGACUUGGACAAUAAUAGCCAAUUUCCCUAAUUUUUGCUCCCACUUCCAACACAGAAUCAAUCAGAGAAAGCCAAAUAUGCUGCACAAACUAAUCAGGCACACAGUGAGAGAGAGAGAGAGGCAGAGACACAGGCAGAGGGAGAAGC